rnacentral:rRNA from 1 species
CCCUUAGAUGUUCUGGGCUGCACGCGCGCUACACUGAUGCGCUCAACGAGUUUACGACCUUGCCCGGAAGGGUUGGGUAAUCUUUUUAAAACGCAUCGUGAUGGGGAUAGAUUAUUGCAAUUAUUAAUCUUUAACGAGGAAUUCCUAGUAGACGUAGUUCAUCAGACUGCAUCGAUUACGUCCCUGCCCUUUGUACACACCGCCCGUCGCUCCUACCGAUUGAAUGCUCAGGUGAGCCAUUCGGACUUUCAUCAUGCUGGUUUCCAGUUUUGAUGAAGGAAAGUCUUGCGAACCUUAUCAUUUAGAGGAAGGAGAAGUCGUAACA